rnacentral:lncRNA from 1 species
UUUCACAUUUGGUUCUUCUGUGCUAUGAGCUUGAGGUGUAUUUCUAAAUGCAGUAUAUUUCCUAUAGGCUAUAGCUUUAAGUUUUCCGGGACUGUUUCUUUAUGAGAAAAUGAUCAAAAUGGUCCUUAAUGUAUGGUCUUUGAUUCCAUUUGGUCCUUAAUGUAUGGAGUUGAUGGAAAUGGUCCUUUAUGUAUCAUAAAUUGUGAUCAAUUUAGUCCUUAACCCUAAAAUUUUAAUGGCAGCAAUUAUUUAAAAAAAAUUUAAACUAAAAUCGCUACACGCGGAGCGAUUUCCCAUUAUUUUUUAAGCAGUCCUCGCCUCGAGAAUUUUUAAUAAAAAAAAUUGAACUUUUUUAAGAAAAUGGCUGCUAUAGCAGCUAUUUCUAUUUUUUAAAUGCUGCUGGGGCAACGUUGUUAAAAAAAUAAAAAUCACAACAGCGAUUUUAAAGAAAAAAGAAAUUUUUUUUUGGACCGGCAGCGAUUUUUAUGUUUUUUAAAGGAGUAACAGCGUCAAUUUUGUCAGAAGAAAAUCACUCCGUCAGAAGCGAUUUUGCCCUUUUGGUUAAGAAAAAAUUGAUGUGUCAUUUUGGAAUUUUUGGAAACAGGGGAAGGAAAGUCUUGAACGAGUGCAUCUUUUACAUAUUCCGUGUAUUUUGACGGCAAAAUAAAAUAAAAUAUUAAUUUUAGGGUUAAGGACCAAAUUAAUCACAAUUUAUGAUACAUAAAGGACCGUUUUCAUCAAGUCCAUACAUUAAGGACCAAAUGGAAUCAAAGCCAUACAUUAAGUACCAUUUUGAUCAUUUUCUCGUUUCUUUAUACUCCUGUUUUUUCUUUAAAUUUCUGUUGUUUUAUGUUCCUACUGUAUUUUGGAAUUUCAUUGUCAAUUUGGUUGAGUGAUUAAGCGACUUGAUUAGGACUUUGUGACUCUUAUAUUCCUAUAAGAGUCAAGCUCAUAUAUUUUCCUAUAAGGCUAUAGCUUUUAAUUUCUGGGACUGUUUCUUUAUAUUCCUGUUUUUUCUUUAAAUUUCUGCUGUUUAAUGUUC